UGGAACAUUACCUUCAGGUGUGUUGCUUCGCCUUUGGAGAAUGCCAUCUGCCAGAUAUGGGAUCAACCUCUUAAGUCUAACAUAGUGGUGCCAUGUCAAAGGGAAGGGACCUGCAUGACUGCCCAAGGUUCCAGAUACCUUAAGAGACACAUCGAUAUGACUACAUGCUGGACAUUUUCUUGCAGAAAUCUAAAAUAAUCUCCUCUAUGUGCAAGUCAGACUGAGCACCACUCCCAAGACCAUGACCUCCCCUGCACCCCUGCUCCUUCCCACUCACCUCUCCUCUUGAGAAAGCCACCUCCCACUACCCAGUCUGCAGUGCCAGAAAACUGGAAACCAGCCCCUAAGCUGCUUUCACCUGCAGCCCAUUUCUCACUAGCCAGCCUCUCCCACGGCCUCCCCAGUUUCUUCAAAUACACCCCCUCCACUAUUCACCAUACUGCCACCGUGAUUUACAACUUUUUGUCCGGAUUACCUCAGUAGCCUUCUAAUUGUCCCCUUUGCAUCUAAAGUAGCCCCUCUCAUCCCCCAAAUCUUACCAGGUCACUCUUCUACAUAAUUCUGGCUUUCCAUGACCCAUAACCACAUUUCUCAAGUGUGCUCUAUGCUGGCUUGAAUAUGUUAAUGAUCUUAAUUCUACUUUUAGUGCAAUUUUCUUAGAGCUGGCAUCACUUUCAUCAUGACGUGAGAACUUACUAGAGAUAGGCAAUGAUGACUCACAGUCAAGCCACAUGUCAUAUGCUGCAGACAUCUGGACUGCUGCUUAUUUGCAAAUCCUUUUCUUCAUAUUUUUCUCAUUUGUAGCACUGGAUCAAUUCCAAUUAAGAGUUUAAUAAUGAAUUAACUAAUGAUUUAAACAGGUGGAUAAGACUAACACUGAACCAAUGAUUUUAAGUAAAUCUAAAUACAAAAAUCCCCCCAAAUUAUUAAUCUAUCUUAUUUACUAAGAAGUGUAUUAAAAUAAUAUUGAAAAAGCUUGCUUUGUGAAAGAGCUAGAAGUUAGAAGGUCUAGGUUCAAAUCCCGCCUCUACUCCAUCCUUGACUAAGAUGUUGGACCCAUCACCUCAACUUUCCUUGGGUCAUUUUGCCCAGACAUGACCUGAUGACACAGAGCUUACCUGGACCUCCACAAUAGUAAAUAGAACAGGGCCAGCAAACCAAAAUUUGUUGAGUCCUUUAGAAUUAAGUAGCUUAGAUAAAUGUUCAUCAAAAUCUUUUUAUAGUAGGGAAUAGAAGAAAGUCUAAUCAAAAAAGUCAAUUCUGUUUUAUUUGAGGAUGUAUGAAUAUGUUACCAUUUUUCAGACUCUGAUUUACCUUCCAAUUAUUGUUUAUUGGGGUCAUUGUGAAUUAGUUAUCAUUUUUUGAAUACACAUUCACUGCUGACAAAGUGGUGAAGCCAGAAGUUAUGUUUGACCAGGGAAGAUUAUGACCCUCAAAGGAGAAAAAUCCACAGGGGGUAGUUGAUUAUUGGUGGAAUGGAGUGAGAGUGCAUUCCUUAAAAGUUUAAACGAAAGCAGAACUAUAUUCAUAUCGUGGAGGGAACUUAGUUUCUAAUAUGAUGAGCUAUUGCCCCAAGUCAUGACAAUACCUUGCUCUCUGGAAG